UAAGGAAUAUUGGUCAAUGGACGCAAGUCUGAACCAGCCAUGCCGCGUGAAGGAUGAAGGUCCUCUGGAUUGUAAACUUCUUUUGAAUGGGACGAAACCCUGGUAUUUUUAUCAGAUUGACGGUACCAUUAGAAUAAGCACCGGCUAACUCCGUGCCAGCAGCCGCGGUAAUACGGAGGGUGCAAGCGUUAUCCGGAUUCACUGGGUUUAAAGGGUGCGUAGGUGGGUUUGAAAGUCAGUGGUGAAAUCUCCGGGCUCAACCCGGAAACUGCCAUUGAUACUACAGGUCUUGAAUUUUCUGGAGGAUAGCGGAAUAUGUCAUGUAGCGGUGAAAUGCUUAGAUAUGACAUAGAACACCAAUUGCGAAGGCAGCUAUCUACAGGGAUAUUGACACUGAGGCACGAAAGCGUGGGGAUCAAACAG
rnacentral:rRNA from 1 species